UGGAGCGCGGCGGGGCGCGGGCAGCCUGCGCUGCCGGCUAUGUUUGGAAACUUGAACGCCAGAUCGCGCCCUCACCCUCCUCCCCGGCCGCACUGCCGGCCCCCCGCCGCGGCACCGCGGCCAGGGCGCGCAUGCACAGUCGUCGUGGUGGUGUGAUCCCAGUGACAGAAUGACACAGUUUUUGUAAGCCUGUGACUGCAUCAGAAGCUCUUCCACUUUUGAUUUGUUUAAACCAGCCAUGUUUGCCAAGUGUUUAAGGUUGGGCUGGGAAAGAUAGUGCUGUGCAUUGCUCAAGGGUGUAGGAGAGGCCAGGCAGGUUUCCCUCUGUGUUUGAAAAGGACUCAGUGUUUCUAUGGCGGGGUGCCACGGCUCCCUUACAUCGGCACGCUCAGCAGCCAUGCAGCACCGACGGGGAAAGAUACCUUCUAUUCGAUUAAUAACGUUUUGGAACUCACAUGACAAAAAACCCCUUCCUUUAAGUAUUUCAUUUCAUAUCACCAAUAUGUGUAAUUUCCAUUUUUAUUUGUCUAAAGCAUUUUAUGUGUGUCUGGUUCUAGUCUAUAAAGCUGGCAAAUGAGUUUGAUUA